CUGCGGGGGCGGCGGCAGGCACGGACCACGCCGGGAACCAUGGAAAAGCGCCGGGACGGGAGACGGACGUGGCUGGCGGGCGGGCGGGGGCGGGGGCGUUCGCCGUGCCCGGCAGCUGGGGGCGGCGCGGCGGGGCCGGGGCCGGGGCGGCUCGGGGGGGGCGCGGGGCCUAGCGGCGGCCGGGCCGAAAUGCAGCCGGGGCCCUCGGGACCCCUUCACCCCCGCGGGCACGGGACCGCCCCCCGCUGCAGAGCCUCGCGGCCCGUUCUGCCCGCCCGAGGCGUCGAGGGCGCAGCACCGCCCGGUCCGCGCAGGCCUCGGGGUGGGCCCGGCCCCGCUGCGGCCCUGCGGUCUGCGCGCGGGCUGCCAGCCCCAGUGGUGUUCUCGGGCUGUUCUGUAUGCGGAGGGCCCGGGUCACGGCUUCCAGGCCGGAGUACCCCCACGAAGACGAGACGGCGCUCCCGCCCCAAGGGCUGCACAUGAGAUACGGAUUAUAACAAAGCAUCACUUCAACCACAAAUAGAAAGCAGCCGCCUCCGGGAUCCAUUGCUACAGCAUCUGACAGCUUGCAGCCAUACCACAUAACAGCUUAGGACAGGAAGCGAUCUCCUCUUACAAAUUACAGGAGUGAAUUUACAUAGGGCAAACACUUCCCGUUUUGCAGAGACCAGAGCGAGACCGCGAACAGCAGUGGCUGAGCACCUCGCAGCUCUCCAAACCCUUCCCGACGCGCUGGUGUUUCCCAACGGGAGGAAAGCUGUGCCUCCCACGGCACCCGCCAGGGUCAGGGUCAGCCGGACCAGCAGGGAGCGCGGCUGCGGUGCUGGACCCUAGCAUGCGUUUGGGAUGCUCCAAGGAUCUCGUAGCUCAGCCCUCUGUGCAGAGGUUUUUUCCCCACUCAGUCAUUUCAUCCACGUCUGGCAGCUCAGCAAUCCUUUGCAUGGGUACAAAUCUGCAAGGCUUUGACAGGGAACACACACAGCAGUGAGAGCAAAAACAUUAGAGGCAAAUCUUUGGCUUUCAGUGAGUACAAGUACAUAUGCCACAACAUUUGCCUUCCCAACGUUAAAUACAGAUCGGUGCAUCCUCGGUGCCUUGCAGCAAGCUUUGUGACUGAAAUAUCGGUUUUGAAUCCAGCCUUGCUUCAGAGGAAACAGGCGAUCAAAUUUCUUUACUGUCCCUUGAUGCAGAUCCUUGCUGCAAAUGGCACUAGCAAGGAAGAAGAAAUGGGAAAAGAAAUGCACAGCUAUUAAGAAAUAAAAUAGUUUAAUUCAGCCGGUCUCAACUAAAUUGAUAAUUCCCUGGGGAAAACAAAACUGUCAUGGAAAGCACAGAACAUAAGUUUUUCUUUGACAGUUGGCAAUAACAGCCUUGUGAAAAGGUGAGUGAACAUUUCUGCCUUUUCUGAAAAACAAAAGGUUCCAUAUGUACUGAAAGUCCCCUCUGUCGUUUUUACUGGUUGGGUUAAUUUUGGAGGUCAGGACAGCAGAGGUCUGUGCUCUGAUGCGAGCUAGUGUCAUACCCACGUUGAAAUGUUUUACAGAUGAAGAAGCAUCUGUAAAGGAAAACCCAGGGCUUCUCGGAAUGGUUCAAAUUAGCCCAUAAUCCCAGAGAACCAAAAAAAAACACCCUAUUAUUAUUUUGAAGAACAUGAGCCCAUCUUUCCCAGCAGCCUGACUUGGGCUUAAGAGAGAAGCAAGCAGAGACAAUCCAAGAACUCUCAGCCAGCCGCAGCGUGAUGGGGGAGCUGGCUGGACAGCACAGCACAGCUGAGUUUUUCUUAGCACUGAAAUACUUUUUCCAAACCAAUACCAAAAAAGGUUUGUUUCUAGGUCAAGACCUCAGCACUAAAUUUUAACCAGGAGUUGACAGUCAAGUUUUAACACAGCCGUAAAAUGGAUUCACAGUAGAAGCUCAGGCAUUCUUUUUCUAAUUAGAAAACAGUCCCCGAGCCUCGUGCAUUUAAAGGUGAAAGCUAUUUUUGACAUAAAAGUUAGCACGUAGUUCCUGUGUCACCCUUCAGUUGCUGUUCUGGAAGCUGUGAGUGAGAGAUCAAGGAUAAGCAGCAAGCAUAAACACGAUGCACUGAAUAACAGGCAGAAAGGGACUUGGUUUAAGUUUUCCUCUGCCUGACAAUAAUGCGAGGGGACGGCUUAUUUUUACACUUACUAUUUAUCCUAAGCAGCACUGGUUAGAAGGUCCACAUAAACACACAGAAACAGAUCUGAAAGACAUUUACAAAUGUGAAGUGCUUUUAAUAGCUGCCUUUUGAAAUGCUGUUAAAUCUGACUGUGAGAUGGGUGGCGUAAGGCACCAGGGAAGCAAGGCAGUGUGCAGGAGGACUCUGCACUGAACAACUGGUCCGCCCUUCAAGGACUCAGCUCCCAUAUGGGGACCAUGGGCAGUAGGGUUAAAAACAAACGGAAUGUGUGACGCUUUCAGAAACCUGGCUGUCCUUUCCGUGUUAAUUUUCCUUCUUUAUUUGGUGAGAAUCUAACAGCUCUGUUUUCAGCAUUUUCAAAAUAUGUCUUGGUGACCAUUUCUAAAAUAAAAGUCAGUGAGGAGCGAACAGAAAUACAAAGGCUUACUGGCACUGCUAAUGCCAUGCGCUGAUCCCCCGGAGGCUCUGCCCCUUUAUGUAACAUGGAUUGUUUCAGCUAACACGGCUUAUUGCUCUUCGGUGUUUUUCUUUAAACACAGACAUUAGAAACCUCCUUCUGACACUGACACCCUUCUUCUGACCCUCGUUGUAGGAGGGGAAAAAUGCAAUGGGAAACAAAAUUUCACUUGUGCUAUAACACAUACGUGUUUUUCUCCCUUGCCUGUCAUCUACCUUUGAAGGGAAAAAAGUCACCAAUUUACAUCACUCAGGUGCAGCUCCCCAAUGGCAAGACACAGGAGGCCACCCCCCACCUCUCCUCAGCCCAAACACCCCCUGACGGCCGUGGACGCUCCAAGCAAAGAAGAGACAGCCUCGGGAAGGCCACUGUCACGGCCUGACGGCAGCUUUGGCAGCCGUGCUGCAGUACUUACUUCCUGCUGGCCCACCUCCCCGGAAGCAUCCAGCCAGCACCACGGCGUCACCGCAGCUCUCCGUGCGCAGAGAACGUCAGGAGAAAAAAAGAAAUCAGAACCCUCUGGAACCACUUGCAAUCGGAGACCUGAAUGGACUCGACGUGAAAACCAACUCAAACCAACAGAAGCCAUCUGCUUCCCUGGGCGUUGGACGAGAUCCAGCUUAAAAGUUUCCGUGAAAUAAACUAGGCUAAGUGCAUCAGCUGCACAGAAACCCUCGGUGCAACGGGAGCAUCUGUUCUUCACGUCUACGGUUUGCUGAGAGCCUUCAUUUCCCAUGGCCGAGGGGACACGAGUCGCCACACCAAUCGCAGGCGCUGCUGUGGCCACGCGUGCCUCCCACCCGUGCCGGCCUCGCUGCCGGCGGCGCUGCGGAUGAGCCGUUGUCACAAGGCAGCGUGCACAGGGCACAAACCACCCAGCCAGGCAGCUUCGCUUGGUCGGAAAACAGCUUAACGUAUUUUGUAUGAUGGCAUUACGAGUGAAAUUGAUGUCUGCGUUGAGACAGCUGAGGAGCACACCUCGGAACCAUUUAUGCACAGUACAAAGCAAAUGUUUACCCAAGUACGAAUGAAACAGGUUGACAAUUAGCUAAUGCGGCUUUGUGGACAUAAACCAGGUACAUUUGAGCAGAACCAACAUAAAAUAAAAAGGAAACAGCCCUUUUCCUAUCCAGUGCUAAGAGCACCGCGGUGAGUGGUCGGGGAAGUCUGGUACGCUGAAAAAUUUCCGUGCCAGUGUUUAAUGUGUUUAUUCUACUGCUACUCUGCCGGGAUAAAAAUAACACCAGCAGGGCACGCUGGCGGGACGAUGGAUCCCCUGUCAAUACUACAGUAAUUGACAACAUACAAUUAAGUCUCACACCUGUUUAUUGUAAGUAAUUCAUAGAUAACCACUUCUCGUACACAUUUUCACAUUGGCUUUUAAUGCUUUUGUUUUUCAAGCUCAGGGACACCCAAACUUCAGCUAAGGGUCAUCUCUGCAGUUUACCCAGCUCCAGAAUGCCAUACCUACUACGUAAAACUGGUGCAAGUUGGUAUCACUGCGGUGGGUAACAGAGAUGGCUUGGAAACUACACAACCCAACAUGCAACGCCCACCAGCACGGGCUGCUCUACGCUAAGGGAGGAAGGUUUUUUGCUGGGGUGCAUUCAACUCACAUGCCUCAUGUUGGCCGUACCAGCCUAAGUCAUGCAGCUGUCUGCACGCAACGCUCUACACAGUGCAAAAACGAAGACGUCUAUACAUCUGGAGUAAGAACAGUGGUAACAAAGUCAUAGCUACAUAUUCUUCUCUACAUUUUUGUUUAUUGAGACAAACUAAUUAAAAGGCACAAACAUAGGGCAUAUGUUUACAUGGACAUUAUAACAAACAUAUACAUUAAAAGUGUAGGAAUGUGUUUCCUUUCUGCUAAACAGAAAGUUCCUAAGCUUUUAUAUAUACAAAAGUUGUACAAUUUGAUGUCCUAAAGUACAAAAGAUCAUUUAUAAAAUUAUUUUACACUAAGCUCUUUUUUUUUUGUUUUUGUUUUACUAUGUAGUCCAAGCCCCUAGAACAGUUUCACGUAAUGAUACAGAUACCUGUCACCUGACCCAGAAGUCUGGCAAUCACUGCUUGUACUGACACGGCAGGGUAGGAACGGAAGCAGUCCAUUUUGACUAGUCAGUCCUGCUAGCACUCUGUGAAAAUGCGCACACGCUAAUCUCCAUAGCUUUCAGCUUCAUUAAAAUAAAAACAUCUCAACUCAUUAUUAUUUGUUUUUUUAAUGUAGAGUCUUGGUUUUAGGGUGGGGGUUUUUUUUGUUUUUUUUUUUAAACAAAGUUUUAAAAAUGUGAAUAUGUGACAUGAUAGUCUAAAAAGUAUAUCUGUUUCCCUAGAUUUUGCUUUCUACGUUAUGUACAGAUAAACAGGUUAAGAAA